rfam:Heligmosomoides polygyrus genome assembly, scaffold: HPBE_scaffold0000177
UAUUCUAAACAAUAUGUAUAAUAACAUCGGUUAUAUCCGGUAAAGCGAAUCAUUAGAGGACUUGGGGUCGAAACGAUCUCAACCUAUUCUGAAAUUUUCAAUGGGUAUGUUGUCUCAGUUUCCUCAUUGAACUGUUGACACGAACGCAAGCUCCAAGUGGGUCAUUUUUAGUAAGCAGAACUGGCGCUGUGGGAUGAACCGAACGUUGGGUUAAGGUGCCUAGCUUUCCGCUCAUGAGACCCCAUAAAAGGCGUUGUUUGAUACAGACAGCAGGACGUUGGCCAUAGAAGUUGGUACCCGCUAAGAGGUGUGUAACAACUCACCUGCCGAAUCAACUAGCCCUGAAAAUGAAUGGCGCUUGAGCGAGAGACCUAUACCCAACCGUUGCUGGCUUGUGCGUUGUCUAUAAUAA